GGAAAAUCGUGUUCUAAUACUAGCAAUUAUAAGAACAAUAAAUAAAAUUCCAAAUUUGAAAUCCAGAAAAUUACAACGGCUUUACUACAACCCACAUAAAAUAAUUUAAAGGUAAUAAUCAAAACUGUAACAUAAAUAGUGUGUGUGGCUUCCUCCGAGCCCCUAGCAACCCCGAUCCAUCUAAGGCUAGAAAUUACCUGAAAGGUUAAUAAAUGGGGUGAGUUUACGAAAACUCAAUGUGAAAUCCCCUACUAUAAAAAGGAACAGUCAGUUAUCUAAAAGAAUUAAAAGUCUGGCCCCAGCCUUACUUACAAUUUCAGUACCAAUCGGGCCUUAGCCCAUUACAACAGACAGUACCAGAUGGACCUUAGCCCAUUACAAAAUAAGAAACAUUAUUAGAAUUGGAACCAAAAUGAGAAUCAGAAUCAAAAUCAGUAACAGAAUCAGAAUCAGAAUCAGAAUUAGGUGACAGAAUCAGAAUCAGAAUGUGAAUGCAAUCCCAACCCAAUCCAGCCAUAUACACCCUCGUACCAACCUUACACCAUGUGGGGAGACAACUCGACCCACCCAUCCGCUACACACCAUAAAAUUUGCAGCAUGGCUGCCAGAACAGAUAUCGUGACAGAGUCACCAGAUACAGAUAUUGUGGCAGAGCCACCAGAAUCAGAUAAUGUGGCAAACCCACCUAACAGGAUACGUGGCACAAAGCCAUAGAUAACUGUAAUAACUUCGACACAUAGCCAUCAGUGACGGUAAUAUAACUGGCGCACAGCCUUCGAUAAAUAUGAUCGACACAGAGUCGUCAACAAAUAUGUUAGGCACAUAGCUAUAGGUAAAUACGUUUGGCACGAAGCCAUAGUCAAGAUGGCACAAAGCCAUAUUUAGGUUGGCACAGAGCCAUUAAUAACGGGUCUAUAAUCGGCACGAAGCCCACAACAACGGCACACAGCCUUCGGUAACGUGAUCGGCACUCAGCCAUCGAUCAGUCAACAGAUAUUGUGACAGAGUCACCAGAUACAGAUAUUGUGGCAGAGCCACCAGAAUAGAUAUUUGUGGCAUAGCCACCAGAACGCUUCCUCCAUACAAAAUCCCAACCCAUGCAACAUGUCAUGUAUGCAGAAUGUCAUGCCCAUAUUUGAAUCAAACAAUCACAGUCAAGUCAUUCAUAUCACCAACAUAUAUUCACAAUCAAAUCCGUCAACCACACAGUCCAAGUCAGUCACUUGCCCACAAGGGUAAAACAGUCAUGUAACACCCUAGCGGCAAAAUGGUAAUUUUACCCCACAAAGGUAUCUCGGUAAUUCUACCCUACAGGGGUAUUUCGAUAUUUCUACACUACAAGGGUAUUUCGAUAAUUCUACCCUACGGGGGUAUUUCAGUAAUUCUACCCUAUAAGGGUAUUUUAGUAAUUCUACCCUAUAGGGGUAUUUCGGUAAUUCUACCCUACAGGGGUAUUUUAGUAAUUUCACAAUUGAGGGUAAAACAGUAAUUCUAUAAAUCGAGGGUAAACGAUAAUUUUGUAAAUCGAGGGUAAACCAGUAAUUCUAUAAAUCGAGGUAAAACGGUAAUUCUACAAAUCGAGGGUAAAAUAGUAAUUCUGUAAAUCAAGGGUAAAAUAGUAAUUCUGUAAACUGAGGGUAAAACGAUAAUUCUGUAAAUUGAGGGUAAAAUGGUAAUUCUGUAAACUGAGGGUAAAACGAUAAUUCUGUAAAUCGAGGGUAAAAUAGUAAUUUUACAAAUUAAGGGUAAAACGGUAAUUUUGUAAACUGAGGGUAAAAUAGUAAUUCUGUAAACUGAGGGUAAAAUGGUAAUUCUGUAAAUCAAGGGUAAAAUGGUAAUUCUGUAAACUGAGGGUAAAACGGUAAUUCUAUAAAUCGAGGGUAAAACGGUAAUUUUAAAAAUUAAGGGUAAAAUGAUAAUUCUGUAAAUCGAGGGUAAAACGGUAAUUCUGUUAAUCGAGGGUAAAACAGUAAUUUUACAAAUUGAGGGUAAAACGGUAAUUCUGUAAAUCGAGAGUACUUUGGUAAUUUUACAAGUCGAGGGAAUUUUAGUAAUUGGUAAACUAAAGUAUUCUAAACAUGGAUAACAAUAAAAAUGGGCCUAAAGCCUAUUCUCGGCCCAAAUGGGCCUACACGCUCGUGUGGCCCUUUAGCCUAAACCUAGCCACAGAUAUGCGAUUCACCUAGCCUAGUCCAAUAUUUACUACACAAUCAAACAACUUAUCCAAUUGGGCCCGUAGGCCCAUUGGGCCCACAUGGCUCCUUUCGGCCCAUCGCGGCCCGAAGUAGCCAUCCAACAACAAGAGUUGUGAUAAAUACACACCUGAUUGGAGACUGGAGUUAAUCCACGCUCCGAGCACUCUUAGCCGACGCCCAGCCCAAACGAGCACGCCAUAAAGCGAAAG
rnacentral:lncRNA from 1 species